rnacentral:rRNA from 1 species
GAUGAACGCUGGCGGCGUGCCUAAUACAUGCAAGUCGAGCGAACGGACGAGAAGCUUGCUUCUCUGAUGUUAGCGGCGGACGGGUGAGUAACACGUGGAUAACCUACCCAUAAGACUGGGAUAACUUCGGGAAACCGGAGCUAAUACCGGAUAAUAUUUUGAACCGCAUGGUUCAAAAGUGAAAGACGGUCUUGCUGUCACUUAUGGAUGGAUCCGCGCUGCAUUAGCUAGUUGGUAAGGUAACGGCUUACCAAGGCAACGAUGCAUAGCCGACCUGAGAGGGUGAUCGGCCACACUGGAACUGAGACACGGUCCAGACUCCUACGGGAGGCAGCAGUAGGGAAUCUUCCGCAAUGGGCGAAAGCCUGACGGAGCAACGCCGCGUGAGUGAUGAAGGUCUUCGGAUCGUAAAACUCUGUUAUUAGGGAAGAACAUAUGUGUAAGUAACUGUGCACAUCUUGACGGUACCUAAUCAGAAAGCCACGGCUAACUACGUGCCAGCAGCCGCGGUAAUACGUAGGUGGCAAGCGUUAUCCGGAAUUAUUGGGCGUAAAGCGCGCGUAGGCGGUUUUUUAAGUCUGAUGUGAAAGCCCACGGCUCAACCGUGGAGGGUCAUUGGAAACUGGAAAACUUGAGUGCAGAAGAGGAAAGUGGAAUUCCAUGUGUAGCGGUGAAAUGCGCAGAGAUAUGGAGGAACACCAGUGGCGAAGGCGACUUUCUGGUCUGUAACUGACGCUGAUGUGCGAAAGCGUGGGGAUCAAACAGGAUUAGAUACCCUGGUAGUCCACGCCGUAAACGAUGAGUGCUAAGUGUUAGGGGGUUUCCGCCCCUUAGUGCUGCAGCUAACGCAUUAAGCACUCCGCCUGGGGAGUACGACCGCAAGGUUGAAACUCAAAGGAAUUGACGGGGACCCGCACAAGCGGUGGAGCAUGUGGUUUAAUUCGAAGCAACGCGAAGAACCUUACCAAAUCUUGACAUCCUUUGACAACUCUAGAGAUAGAGCCUUCCCCUUCGGGGGACAAAGUGACAGGUGGUGCAUGGUUGUCGUCAGCUCGUGUCGUGAGAUGUUGGGUUAAGUCCCGCAACGAGCGCAACCCUUAAGCUUAGUUGCCAUCAUUAAGUUGGGCACUCUAAGUUGACUGCCGGUGACAAACCGGAGGAAGGUGGGGAUGACGUCAAAUCAUCAUGCCCCUUAUGAUUUGGGCUACACACGUGCUACAAUGGACAAUACAAAGGGCAGCGAAACCGCGAGGUCAAGCAAAUCCCAUAAAGUUGUUCUCAGUUCGGAUUGUAGUCUGCAACUCGACUACAUGAAGCUGGAAUCGCUAGUAAUCGUAGAUCAGCAUGCUACGGUGAAUACGUUCCCGGGUCU